rnacentral:rRNA from 1 species
GAUGAACGCUGGCGGCGUGCCUAAUACAUGCAAGUCGAGCGAACAGACGAGGAGCUUGCUCCUCUGACGUUAGCGGCGGACGGGUGAGUAACACGUGGAUAACCUACCUAUAAGACUGGGAUAACUUCGGGAAACCGGAGCUAAUACCGGAUAAUAUAUUGAACCGCAUGGUUCAAUAGUGAAAGACGGUUUUGCUGUCACUUAUAGAUGGAUCCGCGCCGCAUUAGCUAGUUGGUAAGGUAACGGCUUACCAAGGCAACGAUGCGUAGCCGACCUGAGAGGGAGACCGGACAACGUGGGAUAGAGACACGGGACAGAGAAGUACGGGCGGCAGCAGUAGGGAGUAGUCCGAAAUGUGAGCAAGCCUGAAGGAGCAAUAACGAGUGAAGAAUGAAGGUCUUAGGAUCUUAGAACUCUGUGAUUAGGCAAGAACAAAAGGGUACGUAACUAUGCACGUCUGCACGGGACAUAAUCAGAAAGCAACGACUAAUCAGGUG